UUGGACUUCAACUUCAUCAAAAACUACCUCGACCAAAAACUUUAACCUGAAUGGGACAGACAGAUGAACGGACGGACGGAUGAACGGACGCACAGACCAGAAAACAUAAUGCCCAUAAAUGGGGCAUAAAAAGUGAUUUUUAUACGACCGCAAAAAUUUUAAUUUUUCGUCGUAUAUUGCUAUCACGUUGGCGUCGUCGUCUGCGUCGUCGUCGUCGUCGUCGUCGUCGUCCGAAUACUUUUAGUUUUCGCACUCUAACUUUAGUAAAAGUGAAUAGAAAUCUAUGAAAUUUUAACACAAGGUUUAUGACCACAAAAGGAAG
rnacentral:lncRNA from 1 species